UACGUAGGGGGCAAGCGUUGUCCGGAAUUAUUGGGCGUAAAGCGCGCGCAGGCGGUUGUUUAAGUCUGGGGUAUAAGUGCGGGGCUCAACCCCGUGAUGCCCUGGAAACUGGGGAACUGGAGUGCAGGAGAGGAAAGUGGAAUUCCACGUGUAGCGGUGAAAUGCGUAGAGAUGUGGAGGAACACCAGUGGCGAAGGCGACUUUCUGGCCUGUAACUGACGCUGAGGCGCGAAAGCGUGGGGAGCAAACA
rnacentral:rRNA from 1 species